UGAGCUUACAGCCUAACAGAGGAAAAUCGAUAACAGUAAGAUUUCUCUUCCUAGCGUUGUGACUUCACUAUCACGAAAACUGCGUAUUAGUGUACACAUGAACCGAAUCAAGAUUGGCGACCAGCACAGGUGACAUUUCGUAAACGAAGAAUGGUUCAAUGACUACUUGGUUACGCAGUUAAGCGCUCGCUCAGAUACACUAACACACCCACAGCGAAUACCCACAGAUAACCGAAAGGGAUAUGAAUUAUGACAGUCUACCAACACUACUCCGCACAAUAAGGACGAUUCCUCCCACAUGUGCACAAACACAACAUCCACAUUUUCGGAAAAAUGUAAAACAAGUCCAACAAAUGAAUUAUUCUAACGGGGAAUGUCAUUAGCAUAGUUUCUCAACUAGAAAUCAAUUUCCAAUGAAAUAGAACCAACGAUAAAAGCUUGCUUGGCAUGAUGUGAGUUUGACGACCUAACCAUAACAAAUCAUAGUUGGCUAAGAAUCUCCCUGAGCUCUGACCGUUGCACACAGUGCGAGAUCGAAGAAAAAAAUAUCAGAGGUUGUUAAACAUUUGAGUAAACAAAGAAGAACGAGAAACUGGUCGAUGUUUGGAAGUGAUAGCGAUUGGAAUCCAACAUCCCGCACAGAUGUUGAAUCCACUUGUUUGUUGGGCAUGGAAUGGUAUCCUCACAUCACUCGGUAGACGAGAACGGAUCCCAUGGAAACCAAGCGGACUGUCAAACUUCGCAAAAAGUCACUCGUAUCCCGAACAUAAAACGGAAGUACUCGAAACGACCAACUAUUCAAGUGGUUCCAUAACUGAACCUACUGAGCACAAACAGGAAAAAAGUAGUCGUCACAACGCACUACUACCGGACUACAAACGACCGUGCAGAGAACCCGAUUCCGACUGGCGUUUGCGGAUAGUGGCACUGGUGAAUAAAGCCAAAGAGAGCGACCUCUACUUCUGUUACCGGCUGGUUGGUUGGUUGGUUGGCUGGUAGGAAGUUUGACUGGUUGGCUCACUGGAGAGAAGCAUUCAGUAUUCGUUGGCACAGACAGAUAAAGCCAGCAGCAGCGCAAAGAGCAAACGGAGCCACGACUGAAAGACGUCAACACCAACACUAGCCAACUGCCGAGCGCUGCCAGUGUAUCGGAUAAAAUGAUAAACAAAAUACUGUACACGAUAAGCAUUAAGCUCAAACCGGUUCGCUGACUUGCGUGGAGCUUCACAUGCCCGCGUGUGAGUGAAACCUAGAAGCGGAAAGAUCGAUGACUGUACGAUGGUGUUUUUCUUUCUUUUUUGUAAUGGGUGCAGCACUCUAGUGAAAGCUUCGGAAACUAAGACGGAAACUUGGAGAUGUAAUGAAUUAUGUGGAAUCAUUACUGAAUAUUUUUUACAACCGAAAAA